GGUCGUCUUACAGCAAUCACUACCAAACUUCAAACUUUAAAACUGAAAUCCCGAAGACCUG
rfam:Acytostelium subglobosum LB1 DNA, scaffold: scaffold11, whole genome shotgun sequence